rnacentral:rRNA from 1 species
CAGUAGCCGCGGGAAUACCGAGGGUGCAAGCGUUAAUCGGAAUUACUGGGCGUAAAGCGCACGCAGGCGGUCUGUCAAGUCAGAUGUGAAAUCCCCGGGCUUAACCUGGGAACUGCAUUUGAAACUGGCAGGCUAGAGUCUUGUAGAGGGGGGUAGAAUUCCAGGUGUAGCGGUGAAAUGCGUAGAGAUCUGGAGGAAUACCGGUGGCGAAGGCGGCCCCCUGGACAAAGACUGACGCUCAGGUGCGAAAGCGUGGGGAGCAAACAGGAUUAGAUACCCCGGUAGUCCCUGUCUCUUAUAC